UGGUUCUGGCAUCGAUGAAGAACGCAGCGAAAUGCGAUAAGUAAUGUGAAUUGCAGAAUUCAGUGAAUCAUCGAAUCUUUGAACGCACAUUGCGCCUGCCAGUAUUCUGGCGGGCAUGCCUGUUCGAGCGUCAUUUCAACCCUCAAGCUCUGCUUGGUGUUGGGGAUCGGCGUAGCGCCUCCGGGUGCUGCCGUCCCCUAAAUCUAGUGGCGGUCCCGCUAUAGCCUCCUCUGCGUAGUAGUUUUCUCCUCGCACUGGCAGCUCGGCGGUGUCCUUGCCGUAAAACCCCCAACUUCUGAAAGGUUGACCUCGAAUCAGGUAGGAAUACCCGCUGA
rnacentral:misc_RNA from 1 species